CUGAACCAGCCAAGUAGCCUGAAGGAUGAAGGCUCUAUGGGUCGUAAACUUCUUUUAUAUAAGAAUAAAGUGCAGUAUGUAUACUGUUUUGUAUGUAUUAUAUGAAUAAGGAUCGGCUAACUCCGUGCCAGCAGCCGCGGUAAUACGGAGGAUCCGAGCGUUAUCCGGAUUUAUUGGGUUUAAAGGGAGCGUAGGUGGACUGGUAAGUCAGUUGUGAAAGUUUGCGG
rnacentral:rRNA from 1 species